rnacentral:lncRNA from 1 species
ACUGGCAGACUAUUGCAAAAAGGGCACGGGGCAGAGGGACUAUGUUGUGAGCCUGCGAAAGAAGUUUGUGUGGGGACUGUGGGCAGUGAACGCGUUGGGAACAAUAUGGAAAACUGGGAGCCGCCUUGGAAUCUACAGGGCCGGACUUCAAUCCAACAGGACCCACUCGAGCCAUCCACACUUGCCCCAGCCUCCUCCAAAACAGCACACUUUCCGGUAUGGACAAUUCUUUUUUUUUUUUUUUUUUCACUUAUUUGUUUGUUGUGGUGGUUGCAACAGCAGCAACACAGACGACACAUAUUUCCCUAUUCUUCUCGCCCUUCUCACCCUCCCUACCCAGCUCCUGCCUUAGAAACAGGCUUGGCCUACACUGUAUCUGUCCACACUGUCUGAACUCUUCCCUGAAUUAAUCGUUUUCAGUAGGAGGGGGCUAAAUCCCUUAUUAAUGCCCUACCAGGAGUGAAUGAAUAAAGCCAAGUUAAAGGAGAACUGGGUACCAGAUACUGUGCUAGGUUUCUUUGCAUGUACCCUUUCAUUCUGCUGGAGCUAAAGAUUUUCUGCCUCCUCUCCAUAAAACGCACCCAAACUCCAAAACCAGGAAAUUCUCCAUAGAAAAUAGGAGUGAAGAGAGAAAAGACUAACAGGAUAAAACCCAAAGCAGGAAGAAAGUUCUAUCUCCCAUUUCUCUCAAGGAAUUUUUGGACCCACCAAGGCUACUGUCCUGAAAUAUCCUGCUGCUUCUCCUUCCCCAAAUAUUGUCCACUUCCUGAGAGUAAGGCUGACUUGCCACAGGCUUAUAAAGUGUUUGGUCACAGUAAGACAACUGUGAGUAAUAACACACAUUGUAUACUGUUUUGCAAUUGAUAAAAGGCUUUGCAUCUGUUUUUCCUUUGGAGGCUGAAGAAAAGAAGAAUGGUAUUCACGCAGUUCCCAUUUUACAGAUGAAAACAAGAGGACUUUUUCUGUGAAGUCAAGAAAGUGGUUACAAUGGUACUUUCAGCCUGUCCGAAUUAUGUAUUGCCCCUCCCCUUUUUAUUAAUAACAUUGAAGUGUGAUGGGACAACCACUGAAGCCGUCAGUUGAAACCUGCUGGGACUUUUUAGCCAUUCUCUUCAACAUAAAGAAUGGGUGUUUUUGGAGGGGGUGAGAGGAAUGGGGAAAUGUUGUCAAAGAGUACAAUGUUUUAGUUGAGACAGGAAGAAUAUAUUUUGUUGAGAUCUACAGCACAGCAUGGUGACUGUAGUUAACAAUGAAGUAUUGUGUAUUUCCAAAUUGCUAAGACAAUAAAUUUCAAAUGUUCUCACCACAAAAAAGAUAGGUUUUGAGGUGAUGAAUCUAUUAA